rnacentral:tmRNA from 1 species
GGGGAUGUAAUGGUUUCGACAUUACAUUAGAAGUAUGUAUAGCAAGUAGUGGAUUCUCGUUGGCCACUAUAAAAACGAGAAAAUAAAUAUAAACGCUGAUAAUAAUAGAGAAUUAGCAUUAGCUGCUUAGUUGCGGCUACGUUUUAUAAAAUAUGCCCACGUAUUUUAUAAAACGACAAUUAGUGGGAAACGAAGCUACUUUGGCUUUGAAAGUAGUGGGUAAUAAAAAGCUAUAUUUAAAUUAAGCCUGUUUAUCGGCGUAGUUUAAAUGAAAAUAAAAGAUAAAAUAAACUUGUAGAAGUACAUGUGGAAAAUGUUAUGGACAGGAGUUCGACUCUCCUCAUCUCCACCA